CUUCUUUGGUUCAAAUGAGAAGAAAUUUCUAAUGCUCCCAAUUUAGAUAAUCCAAUAAAACAAUUUCUUAAGAAAAUAUGGUAGAAAUUCUAAAACUAUGUAUAUGGUAAGAAAAAAAAGCGAAAAGGAUACCGUAUUGGCUUAGCACCGCUGACAGCCGCCCAUUCCACCUGCUCGAAGUUCCGACUGCUAUAGCAAACCAAAACAAGCUGACGUUAGUACUUAGUAUAGUCCCUCUCUUUCUCCCAGCAGCAUUCAGCACUGGCCGCCACCACGGCUUCCUUUAAAGCCUCACUCUCUUCUACACCGUCGAUAUCUUCAUCGACCAAAUCAACGGCCCUCAAACUGCCUUUACAUCAUUAUGGCGACGCCUCAUCCAAUGGCGGCAGAUCGUCGCUCUCAGCUAAGAUGAUGAUAUCCGUUCCUUCUUCCAUUUCCCCAACGACGUAGCUUGACUUCCAUACCUCCCUUUUCAAGAUAAAAAAUAUCUCGCUUACUGGUCACGACGAGGUUCACUGCUAAGCUAAGUUCUUCCUUUUCUUUUUUAAUUGUUUUAUUUAUUUUUUUCCGAUUAAUUUCAUAUAAUGGUGGUUUAGGUAAUUGUGAAGUAUAUAGUGAGAGGAGGGCGACAUUUGUUCCCUUUGUUGAAUGAUGCUUUCAAAGGAAUCAAACCAAAUGGAGUCACUCGUUGGGUUUCUCAGGGGCCAAGCUCAAGCACAGUAUCUGAGCGAUUCUCUCGCGGAGGCAAAACCUGAUAUUAUUGUGAAGAUUGGGUUGAGGAAGGACUCUCACUCUUUUGCUGAAGCCCGUGCUGCAGGAUUCACUGAAGAGAAUGGAAAUUUGGGGGAUACGUGGGAAACUAUUGCUGGCAGUGAUCUCAUGUAAUUGUUGAUCUCUGAUUCAGCACAGGUUACAAGAUGCGGAUAAUUAUGAAAUGGUCUUCUUCCUCAUGAAGUCAGAUAGCAUCCUUGGACUUUCCCAUGGGUUUCUUCUUGGUCAUUUAUGAUCAAUGGGGCUGAUUUUCCUAAGAGCAUCAGUGUAAUUGCUGUCUGCCUGAAGGGGAUUGGGCUCUCUCCUUUUUUGGGAGUUUUACUUGUGAAUCCCUAUUGUGGAUCUAAUUUUGUGAUUGUUUACAUAGGGUAUGUUGGCUGUGUACAAUUCAUUGUCUGAAGAUAGCAAGAACCGAUUUGAGGCUGUUUAUAGUGCCUUAUGUUAUCCUUGUAUGGAAAUCCUGUAUGAGUGUUAUGAAGAUGUUGCAAGUGGAAGUGAGAUUCACAGUGUUUUUUUGGCUGGGCAUCGCUUUCGUAUAUGUUUAAGGCAUUAUAUCUGAGCUUUUGAAAAGGAGGGUCUACCUGCCUUCCCAAUGGGUAAAAUUGAUCAGACACAGAUGUGGAAAGUUUUGGUGAGCGUGUCCCAGCAACAAGAUCCAAUGAUCAUCUAGGUCUGUUGUGUCCUUUCACUUCUGGGGUUUUCGUGGCACUAAUGAUGGCCCAGGUAAUCAAUUCAAUUUUAAAAUUUGGAUAAUGAUAAAUAUAGUACUCGUCUUAGGGACAAAGUAAAUCACUUUUAAGAAUUGUGUUCUGUUUUUCUCAUCCUUUAUAAUUAAAAAUCCUAAUUGAGGUCUUGAGAAAGAAGGACCAAUUUACUCAGAAAUCAUCAAUGAGAGUUGAUUGAAGCAGUUGAUUUGUUGAAUCCCUUCAUGCAUGCUCAAGGAGUCUUUUUCAUGGUUGGGAUCAUGAAAG